AACGAACGCUGGCGGCAGGCCUAACACAUGCAAGUCGAGCGCCCCGCAAGGGGAGCGGCGGACGGGUGAGUAACGCGUGGGAACGUACCCCUUUCUACGGAAUAGCCUCGGGAAACUGGGAGUAAUACCGUAUAAGCCCUACGGGGGAAAGAUUUAUCGGGAAGGGAUCGGCCCGCGUUGGAUUAGGUAGUUGGUGGGGUAAUGGCCUACCAAGCCGACGAUCCAUAGCUGGUUUGAGAGGAUGAUCAGCCACACUGGGACUGAGACACGGCCCAGACUCCUACGGGAGGCAGCAGUGGGGAAUCUUAGACAAUGGGCGCAAGCCUGAUCUAGCCAUGCCGCGUGAGCGAUGAAGGCCUUAGGGUUGUAAAGCUCUUUCAGUGGGGAAGAUAAUGACUGUACCCACAGAAGAAGCCCCGGCUAACUCCGUG
rnacentral:rRNA from 1 species